rnacentral:rRNA from 1 species
CCCUAAUACAUGCCAAGUCGAGCGGACAGAAGGGAGCUUGCUCCCGGAUGUUAGCGGCGGACGGGUGAGUAACACGUGGGUAACCUGCCUGUAAGACUGGGAUAACUCCGGGAAACCGGAGCUAAUACCGGAUAGUUCCUUGAACCGCAUGGUUCAAGGAUGAAAGACGGUUUCGGCUGUCACUUACAGAUGGACCCGCGGCGCAUUAGCUAGUUGGUGAGGUAACGGCUCACCAAGGCGACGAUGCGUAGCCGACCUGAGAGGGUGAUCGGCCACACUGGGACUGAGACACGGCCCAGACUCCUACGGGAGGCAGCAGUAGGGAAUCUUCCGCAAUGGACGAAAGUCUGACGGAGCAACGCCGCGUGAGUGAUGAAGGUUUUCGGAUCGUAAAGCUCUGUUGUUAGGGAAGAACAAGUGCAAGAGUAACUGCUUGCACCUUGACGGUACCUAACCAGAAAGCCACGGCUAACUACGUGCCAGCAGCCGCGGUAAUACGUAGGUGGCAAGCGUUGUCCGGAAUUAUUGGGCGUAAAGGGCUCGCAGGCGGUUUCUUAAGUCUGAUGUGAAAGCCCCCGGCUCAACCGGGGAGGGUCAUUGGAAACUGGGAAACUUGAGUGCAGAAGAGGAGAGUGGAAUUCCACGUGUAGCGGUGAAAUGCGUAGAGAUGUGGAGGAACACCAGUGGCGAAGGCGACUCUCUGGUCUGUAACUGACGCUGAGGAGCGAAAGCGUGGGGAGCGAACAGGAUUAGAUACCCUGGUAGUCCACGCCGUAAACGAUGAGUGCUAAGUGUUAGGGGGUUUCCGCCCCUUAGUGCUGCAGCUAACGCAUUAAGCACUCCGCCUGGGGAGUACGGUCGCAAGACUGAGACUCAAAGGAAUUGUCGGGGGGCCCGCACAAGACGCUGUAGCAUGUGGUGUAAAUUCGGAAGCAGCGCGGAGGAACCAUUACCAGGUCGUGACAUGCCUCUGACAACCCUAGAGAUAGGGCUUUCGCUUCGGGACGAGUGACAGUUGUGCAUGGCUGUCGUCAGCUCUGUCAUGAAAUGUGGGUUAAGUUCCCAGCAACCAAGCCGCACCCCCUUGGAUCCUUA